CCUACGGGGUGUUGCAGUGAGGAAUAUUGGUCAAUGGACGAGAGUCUGAACCAGCCAAGUAGCGUGAAGGAUGACUGCCCUAUGGGUUGUAAACUUCUUUUAUAUGGGAAUAAAAUGUUCCACGUGUGGGAUUUUGUAUGUACCAUAUGAAUAAGGAUCGGCUAACUCCGUGCCAGCAGCCGCGGUAAUACGGAGGAUCCGAGCGUUAUCCGGAUUUAUUGGGUUUAAAGGGAGCGUAGGUGGAUUGUUAAGUCAGUUGUGAAAGUUUGCGGCUCAACCGUAAAAUUGCAGUUGAAACUGGCAGUCUUGAGUACAGUAGAGGUGGGCGGAAUUCGUGGUGUAGCGGUGAAAUGCUUAGAUAUCACGAAGAACUCCGAUUGCGAAGGCAGUUCACUGGACUGCAACUGACACUGAGGCUCGAAAGUGUGGGUAUCAAACAGGAUUAGAUACCCUUGUAGUC
rnacentral:rRNA from 1 species